rnacentral:rRNA from 1 species
CGCGGCCUAUCAGCUUGUUGGUGGGGUAAUGGCCUACCAAGGCGACGACGGGUAGCCGGCCUGAGAGGGUGACCGGCCACACUGGGACUGAGACACGGCCCAGACUCCUACGGGAGGCAGCAGUGGGGAAUAUUGCACAAUGGGCGAAAGCCUGAUGCAGCGACGCCGCGUGAGGGAUGACGGCCUUCGGGUUGUAAACCUCUUUCGCCAGGGACGAAGCGCAAGUGACGGUACCUGGAUAAGAAGCACCGGCUAACUACGUGCCAGCAGCCGCGGUAAUACGUAGGGUGCGAGCGUUGUCCGGAUUUAUUGGGCGUAAAGAGCUCGUAGGCGGUUUGUCGCGUCGGCCGUGAAAUCUCCACGCUUAACGUGGAGCGUGCGGUCGAUACGGGCAGACUUGAGUUCGGUAGGGGAGACUGGAAUUCCUGGUGUAGCGGUGAAAUGCGCAGAUAUCAGGAGGAACACCGGUGGCGAAGGCGGGUCUCUGGGCCGAUACUGACGCUGAGGAGCGAAAGCGUGGGGAGCGAACAGGAUUAGAUACCCUGGUAGUCCACGCUGUAAACGUUGGGCGCUAGGUGUGGGCGACAUCCACGUUGUCCGUGCCGUAGCUAACGCAUUAAGCGCCCCGCCUGGGGAGUACGG